GCCAAAAACUUCCCACCCCACAAUGCAAAGGCCGUUUGUGACGUCAUCUGCACAGCGCCCGGGAUGGAGCGGGCCGUUUCUACCGCUCCUACCACUACCUCCGCUGCAUCAGAGCCGACCUCCUCCUCCGCCGCCGCCGCCUUCUCCCUCUCCUCCUCCACCUCUCCCAUCAACACCUCCUUCUUGGGCGCUUCUUCCACCUCUAUAUGACCCAGACCCUCUGUCCCUGAGUAGUCGUGUUCAGUUUCCUUUGUGGGCCCAGGGCACAGCCAUGGCGGACGGCGGCGGCGGCGGGGGCACGGGCUCGGUGGGCAGCGGCGGAGCGGGCCAGGCCUCGGCGGGGUCGGCGACAGGCGCGACAGGGGCCGGUGGGAGCGGCGGCCCCAUCAACCCGGCCUCACUGCCUCCCGGAGACCCACAGCUCAUCGCUCUCAUCGUGGAGCAGCUCAAGAGCCGGGGCUUGUUUGACAGCUUCCGCCGGGACUGCCUGGCGGACGUGGACACCAAGCCAGCUUACCAGAACCUGAGGCAGAAAGUGGAUAAUUUUGUGUCAACACAUCUGGACAAGCAGGAAUGGAAUCCUACAAUGAACAAAAACCAGUUGCGAAAUGGUCUGAGGCAAAGUGUGGUUCAGUCAGGGAUGUUGGAAGCUGGAGUGGACAGAAUCAUUUCUCAAGUGGUGGAUCCCAAACUAAACCACAUCUUCAGACCACAGAUAGAAAGAGCAAUUCACGAGUUCCUGGCAGCCAAGAAAAAAGAAGCCGUGCCUGCGCCCCCUCCGGAGCCUGAGAGCCAAGAGCCCCCAGCUCCCUCCCAGGAUGCUUCCUAAGGUCCAGUAUCCCGUCUUUUGUCCAGGAGCAUUCAUCUCUGGCUUGUAGAUAUAUAAAAUGGAUAGAAAAGGGAGUGUGUCUGACACCUUUGGAAGCUCCACUGAACUGACCAUGAAGAAAUGGAUUUGGUUACUUAAGAGUACAACUUCUGGAUGAAGACAGGCUGAGGUCGUCACUGAUUUCAACAUUUAGCCUUGACUGUGGGGCGGUGUCCAGAUGG